UUUGAUCCUGGCUCAGAUUGAACGCUGGCGGGAUGCUUUACAUGCAAGUCGAACAGCGGCACGGACUUCGGUCUGGUGGCAGUCAUUUGGUGAUAAUGUCUCGGAACGUGCCUAAUGACGGGGGAUAACUACGCGAAAGCGUAGGCUAAUGUCACAUACGCCCUUCGAGAAAGCAGGACCUUCGGAAUUUCACGUCGAAUAAUGUAUCGAGAUUAGCUAGUUGGUGGGGUAACGGCUCACCAAGGCGACGAUCCGUAGCUGGUUUGGCAGAGGACGACCAGCCACGCAGGACUGAGACACAGCCCGAACUCCUACGGGAGGCAGCAGUGGAACGCGGAUAAUCAGGAAACUACAAUUGGUGACAUCCGCGUGUGCGAUGAAGGCCUUCGGGUUGUAAAGCACUUUUGGCAGGAAAGAAACGGCACGGGAUAAUACCCGUGCAACUGACGACCUGCGAAUGGCACCACGGUAACUACGAUGCCAGCAACGAUAAUCACGUAGGGUGCAAGCGUUAAUCGGAAUUACUGGGCGUAAAGCGUGCGCAGGCGGUUCGGAAAGAAAGAUGUGAAAUCCCAGAGCUUAACUUUGGAACUGCAUUUUUAACACCAGUUGGAUUGUGUCAGAGGGAGGUGGAAUUCACGUGUAGCAGUGAAAUGCGUGGUAUGGAAGUGCACCGAUGGCGAAGGCGGCCUCUGGGGGAUUAACACUGACGCUCAUGCACGGCAAAUGUAAGGGGAGCAAAACAAGGACAGAUACCCUGGUAGUCCUUUAAAGCGAUGUCAACAGCUGUUGGGGCCUUCAGACCUUGUGCUGUGUUUAAACGAAGUUGACCGCCUGGGAGAGUACGGUCGCAAGAUUAAAACUCAAAGAAGGUGACGGGGACCCGCACAAGCGGUGGAUGAUGGAUUAAUUCGAUGCAACGCAGAAAAUACCCACCUACCCUUGACAUGUCUGGAAUCGAGAUUUGGGAGUGCUCGCAAGAGAACGGACAGGGUGCUGCAUGGCUGUCGUCAGCUCGUGUCGUGAGAUGUUGGGUUAAGUCCCGCAACGAGCGCAACCCUUCAUUAGUUGCUACGAAAGGGCGGCUCGUGAGACUGCCGGUGACAAACCGGAGAAGGUGGGGAUGACGUCAAGUCCUCAUAUGUAUAUGGGUAGGGCUUCGCGUCACAAUGGUCGGGACAGAGGUCGCCAACCCGCGAGGGGGGAGCCAAUCAGAGACGAUCGUAGUCCGGAUCGCAGUCUGCAACUCGACUGCGUGAAGUCAGAAUCGCUAGUAAUCGCGGAUCAUGUCGCGGAUGAAUACGUUCCCAGGUCUUGUACACACCGCCCGUCACACCAUGGGAGUGGGUUUUGCCGAAGUAGUUAGCCUAACCGUAAGGAGGCGGUGCCACGGUAGGAUUCAUGACUGGGGUGAAGUCGUAACAAAGGUAA
rnacentral:rRNA from 1 species